rnacentral:rRNA from 1 species
GACGAACGCUGGCGGCGUGCUUAACACAUGCAAGUCGAACGAUGAAGCUGGAGCUUGCUCCGGUGGAUUAGUGGCGAACGGGUGAGUAACACGUGAGCAAUCUGCCCUUGACUCUGGGAUAACUGCGGGAAUCUGUAGCUAAUACCGGAUACGAGGCUCGAAGGCAUCUUCGGGUCUGGAAAGAAUUUAGGUGAAGGAUGAGCUCGCGGCCUAUCAGCUUGUUGGGGAGGUAAUGGCUCACCAGGGGGACGACGGGUAGCCGGCCUGAGAGGGUGACCGGCCACACUGGGACUGAGACACGGCCCGGACUCCUACGGGAGGCAGCAGUGGGGAAUAUUGCACAAUGGGCGAAAGCCUGAUGCAGCAACGCCGCGUGAGGGAUGAAGACCUUCGGGUUGUAAACCUCUUUUAGCAGGGAAGAAGCGAAAGUGACGGUACCUGCAGAAAAAGCACCGGCUAACUACGUGCCAGCAGCCGCCGUAA